AUGUUUGUCAGCCCUCUGUUCAAGGCCGAGUUUCUUUCUGAAUCUUCUGCAAUGCAUGGAAAGAUGUGUCUGUGGACGAGUGGAAAGCCCAGGCAGUCACUUGUGUGUUUGUGCACAUGCACAAAGAUUUGCAGCUCUCCCUCAUGUUUUCUUUUUCUUGUCUGCUUCAAUUCACCUCAGUGCUUAAUUUUCUGCGCCUUGUCUGCUGCUUUAAUCUCUUUGAUCUUCUUGAGUUUCCUUGCCAGGACUGUGCCAUGGAAUCUGUAUCCUCUGUUCAGUCACCUGCUUUCUAGAGUAAGAAACCAUUGGUCAAAAACUGGGCCACAAAGCCCAUGUUGUGUGAGGGAGCAUGGCUGACCAAGAAGGAAGAGGAAGAAGCAUCUGCAGCUGAAUUUUGUCUCUUCUGGCUAGAACUCUUGUGAAAAUGAAGCAAGUCUGGGACCAAGACUUUCAUCUGCCUGAGAGAGGUACCACAGUUCUUAUUCUCCAGGGAUGUUUUUCCACCAGUGUGAUCUAAAAUCUUCAUGGGACUAUACUCUGCUGAAGAUGGGCCACUGUGCAAAAAAACAAAUGUAUGAUAUUUGAAUCCAGAAGGAUCCGAAGAUGGGCCACUGUGCAAAAAAACAAAUGUAUGAUAUUUGAAUCCAGAAGGAUCCUGAUUUUUUAGCCCAUUUAAUGGGGCUGUGGCUGAACAGUACUGGAUUCUUUUAUCUAUUUCCACUGUCUGUGGCUGUAUUUCAUGUAAUGACCUUUCUGGGUGAAAAAUACAUGCUGUUUCUGAAACAGGCACUUCUGCUGAUUGCAAGGUGGUUCCUCAUCAGCUAAAACUAGGUAUUCUCCUUACCACUGAAUUAUCACAGAGUAGUAUUAUCACAGAAGAUGCAAGAACAUAAUUUGUACCAUCUUUGGUGGAACAAUGCCUAGGAUUUGUGUUUCCACCUCCUCUGUCCGUUGUGUGAUCCCAAGCUCCCCUGCAGGAGCGCAUUCCUCCUGUUCUCUGCUCUCAGCUUUACUUAAUGCAGUUCGAGUUCUCCUAAUAGAUUGGUCUCAGAGGCUUUCAGUGUCCCUCUGUCCACCUCAGGAUUGCACCUGAGCAACUUAGCUCUCUACAAUGAAACCACAACACAGCUUCAGCUUAGCUACUGACAAGGACAGGUAGCUGUCCCAGUGCUCAGCCCUAACAUGGGUCUCACACUGUGUCUUAGGUAUUUUUAUUCCCUGGUAGUUUUUGCUGUCUGAAGACUUAGUAUGAGCUGUGACACUCUCUCCAGCUUUUUUUUCUCCUCUAGUAAGUUAGGUUCCCUCGGUAAUGUUAGGAGUCCUUCUCUGCCCAUCCCAGUUUGAAUUCAGUAUUCCUGAAUGUGGUUACACACUGCAUCCCACAUGAAUUUCAACAGAGCCGUAUAUUAAUACUUCAGUAUCUCUCCUGAUAUAACCAGUCAUCUACUACUGUCUCUCCUGUCACUUAAAUGUCAGAAAAAAAAAUGUCUUUGUGAGCAGGUCACCCAAGUCAUUUUAGAGUAUACAAUGAGAUGGUAUCCAGCAGAUCAUAAAGGGUUUUACUAACCUUGGCAAUGCUGAACAUAACUUAUUUGUCUGACACGUUGCUCACAAAAAAAUUUAAAACUGAAUUUCAGACUUCUGCUAUUUACAUCACCUCACUUUUCUUCACAGAUAUUUUCUCUGAAUUGUGAGGAAAUUCUCUCACUUCUACCUCCUUCCAACUUCUCUGCAGUGGUAACACAAGUUGUCAUUAUAUUUGUACCUCCAGAGAUUUCUUGUUUUAUAAGGGCAUUGAGGUUGUCUUCCACCCAACUUCAAGGUCAUCUGAUGACUUUAAGGUGUCUGGUUGUAAAGCAAUGGUACAGCAGGACUAAGGAAGUGAUCAUUGCCCAGUACUCAGCAAUGGUGAGGCUGCACCUUGAAUAUGUGUCCAAUUUUGGACCCUUGCUGCAAGAAAUACACUGAGUGAGGAGUGAGUUCAGAGAAGGGCUAAGAAGGGAUCUGGAGCACAGGUCUGAUGAGGAGCAACUGAGGGAGCUGGGGGUGUUUAGCUUGGGGAAGAGGAGGCUCAGGAGAGACCUUAUUUCUCUCUACAACUCCCUGAGACAAGGUUGUGGAAAGAUGAGGGUCAGCCUCUUCUGCCAGGUAACGAGGGACAGGAGAUGAGGAAAUGGUUGUAUGUUGCACCAGAGAAGAUUUAGUUUGGAUAUUUGGAAAAAAUCUCUCCACAGAAAAUGUUAUGAAGCACUGAAACAGACUGCCCAGGGAAGUGUUGGUAUCACCAUCCCUGAAGGUGUUAAAAAGAUGUAGAUGUGGCCCUUAGGGACAUGGUUAAGUGGUGGAGUUGGCAGUGGUGGGUGAACAUCUUUUCCAACCAAAAUUAUUCUGUGAUUCUAUAAUGUAAGAGAAAUUAUUAAAAUUCUGUAGCAAAUGAACUUUUAUUACCCUAAGAAUAACCUAAGGAUCUGAUAUUCACACUCAUAAAUGCUGUAUCCAGCUCUGGAGCUCUCAGCAGAGGAAGAACAUUGACCUCUUGGAGCAAGUCCAGAGGAGGCCACCAAAAUGGUUAUAGGGAUGGAGCACCUCUCCUAUGAGGAAAAGCUGAGACAAUUGGGAUUGCUCAGCCUGGAGAAGGCUUUGUGUUGAUCUAAUUGCUGUCUUUCAGUAUCUGAAGAGAACUUAUAGGAAAGAUUGAGAGAAAAUUUUUACAAGGACACAUAGAGACAGCACAAGGAGGAAUGGCUUCAAAGUGAAAUAGAAUAAAUUUAGAUAUUAAAAAAACA
rnacentral:lncRNA from 1 species